AGGACUGGUCCUGCUCGCUCCUCGUGGCCUCCCUCGCGGGCGCCUUCGGCUCCUCCUUCCUCUACGGCUACAACCUGUCGGUGGUGAAUGCCCCCACCCCGUACAUCAAGGCCUUUUACAAUGAGUCAUGGGAAAGAAGGCAUGGACGUCCAAUAGACCCAGACACUCUGACUCUGCUCUGGUCUGUGACUGUGUCCAUAUUCGCCAUCGGUGGACUUGUGGGGACGUUAAUUGUGAAGAUGAUUGGAAAGGUUCUUGGGAGCAUCCUGGGAGCCAGUGAGCAGUGUGUGGAAAGAGUAGAGCUUCUCCAAGUGAUGGAGGAGUCGUCACAUCAAUCUGAUGGGGCCAGAACAUUCGUGUCUUAACUUGAAUCAUGUGUCUUCCACUUACUAGCUGUGUGCCCUUGGCCAAAUCAUUUAAUUUAUUUGAGCCUCAAUUUUCUUAUCUGUAAAAUAGGGAUGAUAGUUUCUACCUGCAGGGAACGUUACAAGAGUUAGACCAAAUGAAUGGAAGGAGAAUGGCCAUGAGUUGUAGCUGAAUAAAUAAAAAUUCUUGUUAUUGACCACA
rnacentral:sRNA from 1 species